CAGUCGCCACGGUAAUACAGAGGGUGCAAGCGUUAAUCGGAAUUACUGGGCGUAAAGCGCGCGUAGGUGGUUUGUUAAGUUGGAUGUGAAAUCCCCGGGCUCAACCUGGGAACUGCAUUCAAAACUGACUGACUAGAGUAUGGUAGAGGGUGGUGGAAUUUCCUGUGUAGCGGUGAAAUGCGUAGAUAUAGGAAGGAACACCAGUGGCGAAGGCGACCACCUGGACUAAUACUGACACUGAGGUGCGAAAGCGUGGGGAGCAAACAGGAUUAGAUACCCCAGUAGUCCCUGUCUCUUAUAC
rnacentral:rRNA from 1 species